rnacentral:tRNA from 1 species
GGAGAGGUGGCUGAGUGGCUGAAGGCGGCUUCCUGCUAAGAAGUUAUACGACCCAAAAGUUGUAUCGAGGGUUCAAAUCCCUCCCUCUCCG